CCCCUGCACAAGCUCUCUUGCUGCUGCUAUGUAAGACAUGCCUUUGCUCCUCCUUCACCUUCCGCCAUGAUUAUGAGGCCUCCCCAGCCAUGUGAAACUGGUCUCAGAAAAUGUUACUGCAAAAUGAAGUCCUCAGAAGCAGCUCUCUCUCUGACCUUCUCCAAACCUCCUGUCUCUGGACCUUCAUUUCCACCCAUCUCCUCCUCCCCACCACCGCCAGGCUGGCCAUGCGUACUAGACUCCCUCUUCCUCAAGGCAGGUCAUGGAAACCAGAAUCCCUUUCCCCAAAGCCAGCCACAAAGCAUCAAAUAUUGUUUCUACUUCCCCCAGCUCCCCUCCAGCCUUUCUGUGUAAACCGUAUAGAAAUUAUCUGACCUACCUGGUUUAAGUGUAGGUCAUAACACUCCCAUUCCAGAGAAGGUCCUGCCCCAUGCCCAGAUGGAACGAUGGAGUACUGCACAGAGUCCAGGAAGGAUCUAAACAGGCCUUGCUGGGCUUCCUCACAGUCUAUUAGCAUUACAUCAUACCCUUUUUGUCUAAUUAUAUUUCUACAGGGCUGUCCAUACUUUGUUGAACCUAAGUAUAAAAAUGGACAAUUUCCCCCUCUACCUUUGGGUCUUCAUUCUGAAGUCUCCUGUGUCACAUAAAACAAGAUCAAAUAAGUGUGUAUGCCUUUUCUCCUGUUAAUCUGCCUUUCUUCAGUGAUUUUCACCAAACCUUCAGAGAUUGAAGGAAAAGUUUUCCCCUGACCCCACACUCCUGCUACCCUGUAUUCCUGGUGGGUUUCUACUCAACAUUCUAGACCCAGUACCAGUACUAUUACGAUUUUAUCUCUGCAAGUUUCCCUACCACCUAACAUAAUUGAAUGUCCGCUCAUCACCUUCUCCCUGGCACUUGCUAUACCUCAGACGUAACAUUUAUCACAUGUGUAUUACUAUAUUUGGUUUUAAGUUUUUUGAAUAAGUAAUACCUUUAUGUGAUUUACAUGUUUAAGUUGCC
rnacentral:lncRNA from 1 species